ACUAAAAUAGCUUAAUAAAAGCAUUACAUUGAAGUUGUGAGGUUGAAUAAAUAUUUUCUUUUAGUG
rnacentral:tRNA from 1 species